rnacentral:rRNA from 1 species
GGCGAACGCUGGCGGCGUGCUUAACACAUGCAAGUCGAACGGAAAGGCCCUGCUUUUGUGGGGUGCUCGAGUGGCGAACGGGUGAGUAACACGUGAGUAACCUGCCCUUGACUUUGGGAUAACUUCAGGAAACUGGGGCUAAUACCGGAUAGGAGCUCCUCUGCAUGGUGGGGGUUGGAAAGUUUCGGCGGUUGGGGAUGGACUCGCGGCUUAUCAGCUUGUUGGUGGGGUAGUGGCUUACCAAGGCUUUGACGGGUAGCCGGCCUGAGAGGGUGACCGGCCACAUUGGGACUGAGAUACGGCCCAGACUCCUACGGGAGGCAGCAGUGGGGAAUAUUGCACAAUGGGCGGAAGCCUGAUGCAGCAACGCCGCGUGCGGGAUGACGGCCUUCGGGUUGUAAACCGCUUUCGCCUGUGACGAAGCGUGAGUGACGGUAAUGGGUAAAGAAGCACCGGCUAACUACGUG